UUUUUGGGUUUUAGUUACAGAUACUGAGGGUGCUCAAACAUCCAUGCAAUUUGCUGUUCACCAUAACACGCAACCCGGAAUGGCUGUUUCGGUCCCCCGUCGGUUACCUGAAAAGCAGUCUUACUGGGCCCCAACCCCAAAUCAAUUUGGUGAGAACCUGAACUCCGCUAUUAACCUUAAUUCUGAGAGAAGAAUGACACCCCCCUCCCACUGCUGGGGUCCACUGAGGGUGAGUGCCCGGGCUCCUUCAUUCUCCAGGCUCCUCUCAGAACACAGCGAGGGUGGCGGACUCCUUCCAAUGUCCAUUAAGCACAAUGCACCGGGGAGAGGCAGUAGGCGGUUUGCUGAGCCCGGUUCCGAGGCGGUGGGAAGUUAUUCACCGGCGUCUCCGAGGACAGCCCAGGCCUGGAGAAUGGCUGGGGCCGCGGGCUGGAGUAGGGGUUACCGGUGAGAGUCAAGGGCAAGUUGGCCAGGCCCGGGCCGGGAGGCGCGGGCAGGACGCAGCCGAGCAUUUCCUCCGGGAGGCCCAGACAGCGGGCGGGUGGGGCGCGGUGGGCGGGGUCCUCGCAGUUGGUGGCUUUUGAAGCCCCCCCGACCGCGGUGGGAGAGGGGCAGCCUAGAAGAGUUGGCAGCGGGCCUGAGGCGGGAGGGGGGAGGAAGGGGCCCCGCGUUCCCUCAGCAGCGGCGCCGGCCGCCCUGGCACGUAGUUCGCUUCUGGAGGCACAGGCCGCGGUGGGCGCGCCACCCGGGCUGCCAGGCUCACCGCCAGCCGAGGCCAGACCUGUUCGGGCUGACCCGAGCUCAAGGGUAGCGCGGCCGCACACCGGACCCCGGCCGCCAGGAACGAGCCCGAGGAGUCUGUCCCUCCCGCAGGAACUGCCCCGCCCGGACUCCCGGAGCUCUGCAGGGCAAGGGCGUGGAGCGGGCGAGCGGCCUAAGGCUCUAGGCGCGGCCACCCGGCAAACUGGCGGCUGAGGGCGCGGCGCGAGUGCUUUCCGCCCCAGGCAGCCCCGCGCCCGGCCGAGCAGACACGCCUCCCGGCCGGCGCCCAUCGCGGGAGGAACAAAUGGCGCCCUCCAGAAAGCACUCCGCUCCACGCCGGGGGCGAAGGCUGGCCACCACACAAAAGCUCCGGCAGGGAAGUGCCCGCUGUGUCCCCACCGCGGGGGUACGGGCAGCAGCUCCGCGCCGCGACUACCAGGCCCACCACCCCCAGACGUCAUGCGUCAGCGCGCCCCGCUCCAGUUUCCGCCCC
rnacentral:lncRNA from 1 species